GGAGAGGUGUCCGAGUGGCCGAAGGAGCACGACUGGAAAUCGUGUAGGCGCUAACACGUCUCGAGGGUUCGACUCCCUCCCUCUCCGCCA
rnacentral:tRNA from 2 species